CCGCCCACCUCGGCCUCCCAAAGUGCUGGGAUUACAACUGCAUCAUUUAUCUGUUGGAAAAUUCAAGAUUCCAAGAUGAAAGUCACCCUGCCCUCCAGGAGCUUACAGUCUAGCAGGGGAUGGGAGAUAGACCAGCAAUUACAGUGCAGUGUGCUGAGGACUGAGACAACAAUAAUGGCUACAAGGAUCACAACCAGCUGUGCCACUUGCCCUAUCGGUUCAUCAUUUGCAGCUGUACCCAGUGCUUCCAGCUCAGGCCUCUGCAUCUGCCAGGUGCAGUGUGUGAUGCCCUUGGCAAAUACAAUAGCAACCUCAAAGAUCACUGAUCACAGAUCACCAUACCAGAUAUAAUGAUAAUGAAAAAGUUUGAAAUACUGUGAAAAUUGUAAAAUGUGACACAGAGACAGGAAGUGAGCAGAUGGUGUUGGAAAAAUGGCACUGGUAGGUUUGCUUGAUGCAGGAUUGUCACAAACUUUUAAUUUGUAAUUUGUUUAGUUUUGCACAGCUAAACAAAGAACAAUAAAAUGGGGUAUGCCUGUAGAGUUAUGAAUUUUUCUUUGCACUGAAAAAUAAUUGGUGUGGUGUUACGUUGGCAUCAAUAAUUCAACUAGUGAUUUUAAUCUCUAUAUUCCUUGUCUGAAUUAAUCUCACUAUGCUUUUAAUUUCAAUGUGCCUAUCCCACUUACAAAAGGUGUGAAACUAUUUAUGCAUUUAUUGGCUACUUAAUCUUCCUUUCCUGUAACAUACCUAUUAACUGAAUUUUGAUCAUUUUUCUAUUGAGCUAUUUGUAUUUUUUAACUGAUUUGUAAAAUGUCUCUAUAUAUUUUUGACACUAGUCAUUUGCCAUUCAUAUGCGUUACAGAUACUUUGAGGUUGAAGAUGGAUUUUUGCAAACUUUAAGUUGCUUUGGGAUUAAAAUAAUUCUUUUGAAUUUAAAUAUAAUCAAUUUAAAACAUUUUUAUUUACAGUUGUUAUUUUGUGUGUGGUUUACAUGUAGUCCUCUCUUCAAGAAUACAAAGAUGUUUUUCUGUUUUAUUCUAUAUUUUUAGUUGCCAUUUACGUUUAAGCCUUUAAGCCAUGUGGAAUUUACUUCUGUGUAUCUUAUGGGAGUGGAAUUCUAUUUAAUUUUUAUACUGAUUAUCAGUUUUCUCAGCUUCAUUUAUUGAAUAAUCUAUACAUCCUCUAAUAUCUACAAUAUUAAGUUUGUCUUGCAGAAAAUAUCCUUAUA